rnacentral:rRNA from 1 species
GGUUUUGCGUGGAUAGUUGCAAGAUUAGUUCUGCUCAAUGAGUUUUAAAUGGCUGCGGUAAAUUGACUGUAUAAAAGUAGCAUAAUAAAUAGUUUAUUGAUUGUGAACUGGUAUGAAUGGUUUGAUGAGAUUCUAGCUGUCUAGGUUUUAUGGGGCUUGAAUUUGUCAUUUAAGUAAGAAGACUUAAAUUUUUAGUGGGACGAGAAGACCCUAUAGAACUUUAUUUUAUAUUUGUUGGAUUUUUUAUGAUUUUGUGAAAAUUAAUUUUUAGUUGGGGUGACUGGUAGAAUUGUAUAAUUUUAUUUAGGUUUUUCAUGAGUUAAUGGUUUAAUAAGAGAGUUGAUUUUUAUUUAAAAUUUUAAGAUUAGAGUUACCUUAGGGAUAACAGCGUUAUUUAUAUGGAGAGUUCUAAUCAAUAUAGUGAGUUUGCGACCUCGAUGUUGAAUUAAGGUUAAUGUUUGGGGUAGAUUUUAAAUAAUUAGGUCUGUUCGACCUUUAAGACCUUACA